AAAAAGUGAAAAUUCCCUGGGGUCCAACACAAAAGUAAAGUCGUUGAGAAGAUGGAUAAGAACAGAAAAGAACCAUCAGGAGAGAGAGAAUCCAUGUUAAUUCAAUCUUUUUACAUUUCCCUCAUUUGCUUGUCACACAGAGGGCACCAAGUUCAUUCCCAUCUCUCUCUAAAGAUCUAGAGAGAGAGAGAUCUAACUCAAAUCCCAUCUCUCUCUACAACCCUUACCUUCUUCUUCUCACCAAAUGUCGAAAACCCAGUUCACGUUGUCUCUCCUCCUCCUCACCAUCUUCACUUCGUCUCUCUCAUCAUCAUCUUCAAAGCCAACCAAUUUCAUUAGUCCCACCUCCCUCAACUCCAAAGACCAGAUCCCCACAAACCAGAAACAAGAAAACGCAAAUCCCUCUCAUUCAAACAACACAAAGCUUGUCUCUAUACCUGACCACAUUCCAAGGCUCUGCGAUGAGUGCAGAAAGCCAAAUGGUAACUGUGGAAUUGGGCUCAGAUGCUUGUGCUAUCCUUCUCAGUGCAAGCAGAGCGUCCUCUCUGGAGGAGCAGCUGUGAAACCAGUUGAUGCUCUGUUUGUUGUGGUGUUUUGCAUUUUUUGCGAAAUAUCACAAUACAAAGGACGGAUCGACUGCAAAUUCAAAAGCACACGAGUCCUAAGCUGCCGACAAAAAUUGUGACCGACAGUAUCUGCCACCUUUUACUUUUACCUUUUAGUCAGAUCAGAGGCCCUGUUCGUGCCGACAGCAUCUGUCACCUUUUACUUUUACCUUUUAGUCAGAUCAAAGGCCCUAUUCAUGCCGACAGCAUCUGUCCCUUUUUACUUUUAAUCAAAUCAGAGGCCCAUGGUAUCUAUCACCGACACCAGCAACAUCCAUCAUCGAUAAAAUCCUACUAUCAUCAGACUACUAUUCGGACUUGAAAGAAAAAUUUGAAAUCCGAAAGAAGUCGAUAAAAGGGGAAGCGGUACAUUGAGAAGGGGAGAGGUUUUUGCGAGAGGUUCUUCAAAGUAGUAAGAGAGGUCCAUAAGUUUAAAGUACUUGAGUGUUGAGAGUUGGAGUGCUGUAAUAGUUUAAUUAUUGUAUGUAUGUAUGACUGUUAUUGGGAUUGUCUACCUAGUUACUAUCCAGAAGAGUGGAAACUCUUUUCAAGCUUCUGCAAGUGUCAGAUGUUGGCCAUUAGAUGUUGCGCUAUCAGAAGGUGGCGGCUCAGUGUGGGGUGUAAGAAGCUCGGUUGAAAUUUUUCAGAGGAAUACAGGUCCCACAAUGAACAGAGCAUUCCCCUGUGAUGGUCCCCCUGUUGUUCCCAACCAUGAAAGUGAUGUUUAGCUAUGCCAAGCUCCUC